GGGCAAAAAUUUGCAAUGAUGGAAGAAAAAGUCGUACUAGCUUCAAUUAUACGUCAUUUUCAUAUCAAGUCAACGCAGUUGACUGAGGAUAUCAAGAUAACUCCUGAAAUUAUUCUUAAGUCCACCAAUGGUGUUAUGGUGAAACUGGAAACGAGAAAUUUAUAGAGAUUUCUUUGCUCUGUACUCUGAUGAAAACAAAUAAAUGCAAACCUCGGUCAAAUACAUCCUCUGCUCAACGACACUUCGGUCAUGCCACUUCGGUCAACGACGCAUGGUCACCUAAAGUCGCAGUUCUUCGUUGUCUCGAGGGAUGACGUCAU